rnacentral:lncRNA from 1 species
GGCUUGUUUUCCCGGCUAGGCUCUGGAGCGGCGGGCGCGGCGCGAUGCGCGGGUACCCGGGAGCGAACGGCUGCAAGCCCCGAUGAAGCUCGAGCAGCCCCAGCCUGAUGGAGGCGCCUCCGUGGGAGCCGGUGCGCAAUGACUCCCUGCCUCCCACGCUGAGCCCCGCGGUGCCGCCCUACGUGAAGCUCGGCCUCACCGCGGUCUACAACCGUCUUCUACGCGCUCCUCUUCGUGUUCAUCUAUGCGCAGCUCUGGCUGGUGCUGCGCUACCGUCACAAGCGGCUCAGCUACCAGAGCGUCUUCCUCUUCCUUUGCCUCUUCUGGGCCUCGCUGCGUACCGUGCUCUUCUCCUUUUACUUCCGAGACUUCGUGGCAGCCAACUCGUUCAGCCCCUUCGUCUUCUGGCUGCUCUACUGCUUCCCCGUGUGUCUACAGUUCUUCACCCUCACGCUCAUGAACUUGUACUUCACGCAGGUUACCCCUCUACCUGGCCUCACUUUUCAUCAGCCUCGUUUUCCUGUUGGUGAAUCUGACCUGUGCUGUGCUGGUGAAGACGGGAGACUGGGACAGGAAGGUUAUCGUCUCUGUGAGAGUGGCCAUCAAUGACACACUCUUUGUGCUGUGUGCUAUCUCUCUCUCCAUCUGCCUCUACAAAAUCUCCAAGAUGUCCCUGGCGAACAUCUACUUGGAGUCAAAGGGCUCAUCAGUGUGUCAGGUAACUGCCAUUGGUGUCACCGUCAUCUUGCUCUACGCCUCUCGGGCCUGCUACAACCUGUUCAUCUUGUCAUUUUCUCAGAUCAAGAACGUCCAUUCCUUUGAUUAUGACUGGUACAAUGUAUCCGACCAGGCAGAUCUGAAGAGCCAGCUGGGUGAUGCCGGCUACGUAGUGUUUGGCGUGGUGCUUUUCGUGUGGGAGCUCCUACCCACCACCUUGGUGGUUUAUUUCUUUCGAGUCAGAAAUCCCACGAAGGAUCUUACCAAUCCUGGGAUGGUCCCCAGCCAUGGAUUCAGUCCCAGAUCUUACUUCUUUGACAACCCCCGAAGAUAUGACAGUGAUGAUGACCUUGCCUGGAACAUUGCCCCUCAGGGACUUCAGGGAAGUUUUGCUCCAGACUACUGUGAUUGGGGACAACAAAAUAACAGCUUCCUGGCACAAGCAGGAACUUUGCAUCAAGACUCCACUUUGGAUCCAGACAAAGCAAGCCAAGGGUAGCAGCAGCUGACACAGCCCUAUGGAAGAGUUCUCUGUUGACAGCCUUCAGCCAGACAGACCGGAUGACAGCUGAGUUGCUAAGGCAGUUUUCCUUAGGAAACAGAACUCUAGUUUUUGCUAUAGCUUUCUCAUGGCUCCACAGGGCUAAGCAAUAAUUUAGAGCAAUAAACCCUUUAGUACUAGCAGAGAAUCUGGCUAUUUCAGUGGGUAUAAUUUAAACUUAUAAAAGAGAUUCUGUACUUUUAUAAAGAUGUAUUUUAUAUAACUUAAAUACUAAUGCUAAAGUAUACUAGGUUUUUCCUUGAUUGUUAAUUUGUUAAUUGCAACGUAUGUUGUAGUUUGCACAGACUUUCACGCAGAAUUCACUUUAAAACGUAUAGAAUGCGUGGUCUAAUAGUUUAAAGCUUUGGGAAAACUUUCCACAAAUCUUACCUCUGAAGGUUCCUCUUGUGAGUGCCACGUGGUGGGCUCCUUUCACCGCCACUCAAGCAUUCCAAGUUAAGGGGAAGCAGAGUACCACGGUCUGUACGUAACAGGCUCAGCAGCAGCAAUUUCUCGUAAACUCUGUCCUAAGCCUGGUCCUUCUUCAUCUGAAAGCACUACUACAAGCACUCCAGUAACAAGUGGAUACUGUUAAGAUGUAGUUGCUGACACUAUUAAACCUCCUCUGCUGUGUGUGUA